CAGCAGCCACGGGAAUACAGAGGGUGCGAGCGUUAAUCGGAUUUACUGGGCGUAAAGCGUGCGUAGGCGGCUAAUUGAGUCGGAUGUGAAAUCCCCGAGCUUAACUUGGGAAUUGCAUUCGAUACUGGUUAGCUAGAGUGUGGGAGAGGAUGGUAGAAUUCCAGGUGUAGCGGUGAAAUGCGUAGAGAUCUGGAGGAAUACCGAUGGCGAAGGCAGCCAUCUGGCCUAACACUGACGCUGAGGUACGAAAGCAUGGGGAGCAAACAGGAUUAGAUACCCCGGUAGUCCCUGUCUCUUAUAC
rnacentral:rRNA from 1 species